AACGAACGCUGGCGGCAUGCCUAACACAUGCAAGUCGAACGAGACCUUCGGGUCUAGUGGCGCACGGGUGCGUAACGCGUGGGAACCUGCCCUUAGGUUCGGAAUAACUCCCCGAAAGGGGUGCUAAUACCGGAUAAUGUCUUCGGACCAAAGAUUUAUCGCCUUUGGAUGGGCCCGCGUUGGAUUAGCUAGUUGGUAGGGUAAAAGCCUACCAAGGCGACGAUCCAUAGCUGGUCUGAGAGGAUGAUCAGCCACACUGGGACUGAGACACGGCCCAGACUCCUACGGGAGGCAGCAGUGGGGAAUAUUGGAAAAUGGGCGAAAGCCUGAUCCAGCAAUGCCGGGUGAGUGAUGAAGGCCUUAGGGUUGUAAAGCUCUUUUACCCGGGAUGAUAAUGACAGUACCGGGAGAAUAAGCCCCGGCUAACUCCGU
rnacentral:rRNA from 1 species